rnacentral:rRNA from 1 species
GCUGAGGAAAAGAAACCAACAGGGAUUGCCUCAGUAACGGCGAGUGAAGCGGCAAAAGCUCAAAUUUGAAACCCUCGGGAUUGUAAUUUGAAGAUUUGGCAUUGGAGAAAGCUAACCCAAGUUGCUUGGAAUAGUACGUCAUAGAGGGUGACAACCCCGUCUGGCUAACCGUUCUCCAUGUAUUGCCUUAUCAAAGAGUCGAGUUGUUUGGGAAUGCAGCUCAAAGUGGGUGGUAAACUCCAUCUAAAGCUAAAUACUGGUGAGAGACCGAUAGCGAACAAGUACUGUGAAGGAAAGGUGAAAAGAACUUUGAAAAGAGAGUGAAAUAGUAUGUGAAAUUGUUGAUAGGGAAGGAAAUGAGUGGAGAGUGGCCGAGGUUUCAGCCGCCCCUCGUGGGCGGUGUACUGCCGACGCCGAGUCAUCGAUAGCGAGACGAGGGUUACAAAUGGGAGCGCCUUUCGGGCGUUCUCCCCUAACCCUCCACACUGCCACCGACGACAUAAUCCACCCAUUUCACCCGUCUUGA